rnacentral:rRNA from 1 species
ACGUAAUAGAUACCCAGGUAGUCCACGCCCUAAACGAUGUCUACUAGUUGUUGGUGGAGUAAAAUCCAUGAGUAAACGCAGCUAAACGCGUGAAGUAGACCGCCUGGGGAGUACGGUCGCAAGAUUAAAACUCAAAUGAAUUGACGGGGGCCCGCACAAGCGGUGGAUUAUGUGGAUUAAUUCGAUGCAACGCGAAAACCUUACCUGGCCUUGACAUGUAACGAACUUUCCAGAGAUGGAUUGGUGCUCGAAAGAGAACGUUAACACAGGUGCUGCAUGGCUGUCGUCAGCUCGUGUCGUGAGAUGUUGGGUUAAGUCCCGCAACGAGCGCAACCCUUGCCAUUAAUUGCCAUCAUUUAGUUGGGCACUUUAAUGGGACUGCCGGUGACAAACCGGAGGAAGGUGGGGAUGACGUCAAGUCCUCAUGGCCCUUAUGGCCAGGGCUUCACACGGUAAUACAAUGGUCGGUACAGAGGGUUGCCAACCCGCAAGGGGUAGCCAAUCCCAGAAAGCCGAUCGUAGUCC